rnacentral:rRNA from 1 species
UACGUAGGGGGCAAGCGUUGUCCGGAAUCAUUGGGCGUAAAGCGCGUGUAGGCGGCCCGAUAAGUCCGCUGUGAAAGUCCAGGGCUCAACCCUGGAAUGCCGGUGGAUACUGUCGGGCUCGAGUCCGGAAGAGGCGAGUGGAAUUCCCGGUGUAGCGGUGAAAUGCGCAGAUAUCGGGAGGAACACCUAUGGCGAAGGCAGCUCGCUGGGACGUUACUGACGCUGGAGACGCGAAAGCGUGGGGAGCAAACAGG